UAUAGCUCAGUGGUAGAGUGUGUGCUUAGCAUGCACAGGAUCCUGGGUUCAAUCCCCAGUA
rnacentral:tRNA from 1 species